CACAGCAGCCGGUGAAACAGAGCAUGCAGCAGGUGAAGGAGCAACAGACACAACUCGCCCUGAUUCUGCACUACAGCCUGCAGACACUUUCUCCCCCACAACAAGUUCUGAUGUCCAUGAGUCCAUCAGGGAAGAACCGAUUGAUCCUGCUGACUGGCCAACCCUGUCUGGCCAAAGUUACUAAAAAUUAAAAUAUUCUGAGACCAUUA